rnacentral:rRNA from 1 species
GACGAACGCUGGCGGCGUGCUUAACACAUGCAAGUCGAACGGAAAGGCCCUGCUUUUGCGGGGUGCUCGAGUGGCGAACGGGGGAGUAACACGCGAGUAACCUCCCCUUGACUUUGGGAUAACUUUAGGGAAAUGGGGCGAAUAUCGCAUAGGAGCUCCUGCAGCACGGGGGGCGAUGGAAAGUUUCGGCGGUUGGGGAUGGACUCGAGGCUUACGAGCUGGUUGGGGGGGUAGGGGCUUACCAAGGCUUUGACGGGUAGCCGGCCUGAGAGGGUGACCGGCCACAUUGGGACUGAGAGACGGCGCAGACGCCUACGGGAGGCAGCAGUGGGGAAUAUUGCGCAAUGGGCGGAAGCCUGAUGCAGCAACGCCGCGUGCGUGAUGACGGCCUUCGGGUUGUAAACCGCUUUCGCCUGUGACGAAGCGUGAGUGACGGUAAUGGGUAAGGAAGCACCAGCUAACUACGUG